rnacentral:misc_RNA from 1 species
CUCCAAGCCCGAAAGACGAUUUCAUUUUCUACUUGUCUAGUGUCCCUUGCUCUUCUAGCCUCAACUACACUCUCUCUCUCUUUCUCUCGAGAGAUAGGGGCACACUGGUCCUUGCAUCAAAUCUCUAAAACCCUAAACUAUCAUUAAACCUCUAUUCAACACUGACAUAAAAUCAUACACAAGCUCACAAUUUGUAUAUGCACGGAUCUGCAAAUUUCUUCAAAGAGAUUUUUAGGGUUUUCAGUUAGAUCCUGAGCUGAUCACCAUGUGGAACAAUAAUGGAGAGGCGCAUAUCGCCCCACCAGGGACGAGCGUUCCAUCGAUACCUCCACCGCCUGUUCCAGCACAGCCCUCUUAUACUGUGCUGGCCCCGCAAACACCUCCGACUCCGGCUGAGGCGGAGGCUAAGCUCGAAGAGAAGGCCCGUAAAUGGCAGCAACUUAAUACGAAGAGGUAUAGCGAUAAGAGGAAGUUUGGAUUCGUAGAGACGCAGAAAGAGGACAUGCCCCCAGAGCAUGUCAGAAAAAUUAUCAGAGACCAUGGGGACAUGUCCUCCAAGAAAUAUCGUCAUGAUAAACGUGUGUAUCUUGGAGCCCUUAAAUUCAUUCCACAUGCAGUUUACAAGCUUCUUGAGAAUAUGCCGAUGCCCUGGGAGCAGGUUCGUGAUGUGAAGGUUCUAUACCAUAUCACCGGGGCUAUCACUUUUGUGAAUGAAAUUCCAUGGGUUGUUGAACCUAUUUAUUUGGCUCAGUGGGGUACAAUGUGGAUCAUGAUGCGAAGAGAGAAGAGGGAUCGGAGGCAUUUUAAGAGAAUGAGGUUUCCACCAUUUGAUGAUGAGGAACCUCCAUUGGACUAUGCUGAUAAUUUGUUAGAUGUUGAUCCUCUAGAGCCUAUUCAGUUGGAGUUGGAUGAAGAAGAAGAUUCUGCAGUAUGCACUUGGUUUUAUGACCAUAAGCCCCUUGUCAAAACGAAACUUAUCAAUGGUCCAAGUUAUAGGAAGUGGCAUCUCUCCCUUCCCAUAAUGGCAACUCUUCACCGGUUGGCAGGACAACUUCUAUCUGAUCUAAUUGAUCGCAAUUAUUUUUACUUGUUUGACAUGGAGUCCUUCUUUACGGCUAAAGCAUUAAACAUGUGCAUACCUGGUGGUCCUAAAUUUGAACCUUUGUAUCGUGACAUGGAGAAAGGGGAUGAAGAUUGGAAUGAGUUCAAUGAUAUAAACAAACUCAUUAUUCGGUCACCUCUCAGGACAGAGUACAGAAUUGCAUUCCCUCAUCUUUAUAACAAUAGGCCCAGGAAAGUAAAGCUUGGUGUGUAUCACACUCCCAUGAUCAUGUUCAUUAAAGCCGAGGAUCCUGAUUUACCUGCUUUUUAUUACGAUCCAUUAAUUCACCCUAUAACCUCUACUAACAAGGAACGUCGAGAAAAGAAGGCUCAUGAUGAUGAUGAGGAUGAUGAUUUCCUUUUACCAGAAGGAGUGGAACCUUUGCUGCAAGACACUCAGCUUUAUACAGACACCACAGCUGCUGGUAUUUCCCUGUUAUUUGCACCACGGCCGUUUAACAUGAGAUCCGGCCGUAUGCGACGAGCAGAAGAUAUACCCCUUGUGUCUGAGUGGUAUAAGGAGCACUGUCCUCCAUCAUAUCCAGUGAAAGUUAGGGUUAGCUACCAGAAAUUGUUGAAAUGUUUUGUUUUGAAUGAGCUGCAUCAUAGACCACCCAAAGCACAGAAGAAGAAGCACCUGUUUCGGUCUCUAGCUGCAACCAAGUUCUUCCAAACAACAGAACUUGAUUGGGCUGAAGCAGGCUUACAAGUUUGUAAGCAGGGGUAUAAUAUGCUGAACCUGUUGAUACACAGGAAAAAUUUAAAUUACCUCCAUCUUGAUUAUAAUUUUAACUUGAAGCCUGUGAAAACCCUUACUACAAAGGAACGCAAGAAAUCCCGGUUUGGCAAUGCUUUUCAUCUCUGCCGUGAGAUCCUGCGUUUGACAAAGCUUGUGGUUGAUGCCAAUAUCCAGUUCCGUCUGGGUAAUGUUGAUGCAUUCCAACUAGCUGAUGGUCUACAAUAUACAUUUUCCCAUGUUGGCCAGUUGACUGGCAUGUAUCGAUACAAGUACAGGCUGAUGCGACAGAUUCGAAUGUGCAAAGACUUGAAGCAUUUGAUAUAUUACCGCUUCAAUACGGGUCCAGUGGGGAAAGGACCUGGCUGUGGAUUCUGGGCACCAAUGUGGAGAGUUUGGUUGUUUUUCCUUCGUGGCAUUGUGCCUCUUCUAGAACGGUGGUUAGGGAAUCUCCUUGCACGACAGUUUGAAGGCCGCCAUUCAAAAGGAACGGCUAAGACUGUUACAAAGCAACGUGUUGAGAGUCACUUUGAUUUGGAGCUUCGUGCUGCUGUCAUGCAUGAUGUUCUUGAUGCCAUGCCAGAGGGUAUUAAGCAAAAUAAAGCUAGAACAAUAUUGCAGCACCUAAGUGAGGCCUGGCGUUGUUGGAAAGCCAACAUUCCCUGGAAGGUUCCUGGCUUGCCAGUGCCCAUUGAAAAUAUGAUUCUUCGUUACGUUAAGUCAAAAGCAGACUGGUGGACAAAUGUUGCUCACUAUAAUCGUGAACGUAUAAGAAGAGGUGCAACUGUUGAUAAGACAGUUUGCCGAAAAAAUCUUGGAAGGUUGACUCGCCUUUGGCUAAAGGCAGAACAGGAACGGCAACACAAUUAUUUGAAAGAUGGUCCAUAUGUCACACCAGAAGAAGCAGUUGCCAUUUAUACAACAACCGUGCAUUGGCUGGAGUCCAGAAAGUUUUCUCCCAUUCCAUUCCCUCCACUGUCAUACAAGCAUGACACCAAGCUACUUAUUCUUGCUUUGGAAAGGUUGAAAGAGUCAUAUAGUGUGGCUGUCAGAUUAAACCAACUGCAGAGGGAGGAACUGGGUCUUAUUGAACAGGCUUAUGAUAAUCCACAUGAGGCUUUGUCACGGAUUAAACGUCACCUACUUACUCAGCGUGCCUUCAAAGAAGUUGGCAUAGAGUUCAUGGAUUUAUAUAGUGCUUUGAUUCCAGUUUAUGAAAUUGAACCUCUUGAAAAAAUAACAGAUGCAUAUCUUGACCAAUAUCUGUGGUAUGAAGGUGACAAGCGCCAUCUCUUUCCAAACUGGAUUAAGCCUGCAGAUUCUGAGCCACCACCACUGCUUGUUUAUAAAUGGUGUCAGGGUAUAAACAAUUUGCAGGGUAUCUGGGAUACAAGUGAGGGGCAGUGUGUAGUGAUGCUACAAACGAAGUUUGAGAAGUUCUUUGAAAAGAUUGACUUGACAAUGUUAAAUAGGCUUCUUCGUUUGGUGCUUGACCACAACAUUGCUGAUUAUGUUACUGCAAAGAACAAUGUUGUGUUGUCGUACAAAGAUAUGAGCCACACAAAUUCUUAUGGUUUGAUACGUGGGUUGCAGUUUGCUUCUUUUGUUGUACAAUAUUAUGGACUUGUGCUAGAUCUCUUAGUUCUUGGAUUGACUCGAGCCAGUGAGAUUGCGGGUCCCCCACAAAUGCCAAAUGAAUUCAUCACUUAUUGGGAUACAAAAGUUGAGACAAGGCACCCAAUUCGGUUAUAUUCUAGGUAUAUAGACAGGGUGCAUAUAUUGUUCCGCUUCACUCAUGAAGAGGCUCGAGAUCUCAUCCAGCGCUAUCUUACUGAGCAUCCUGAUCCCAACAAUGAAAACAUGGUUGGGUACCAAAACAAGAAAUGCUGGCCUAGAGAUGCAAGAAUGAGGCUCAUGAAACAUGAUGUUAAUCUCGGGAGAAGCGUAUUUUGGGAUAUGAAGAACCGUCUCCCUCGAAGCAUCACAACUUUGGAGUGGGAGAACAGCUUUGUUUCUGUUUACAGCAAGGACAAUCCAAACUUGCUUUUCAGCAUGUGUGGGUUUGAAGUUCGAAUACUUCCUAAACUAAGGAUGACUCAGGAAGCAUUCAGCAAUACCAGAGAUGGUGUUUGGAAUUUGCAGAAUGAGCAGACUAAAGAGCGAACGGCUGUUGCUUUCCUACGGGUUGAUGAUGAGCACAUGAAGGUGUUUGAGAAUCGUGUGAGGCAGAUUCUUAUGUCUUCAGGGUCAACUACUUUCACAAAAAUCGUCAACAAAUGGAAUACAGCUCUGAUAGGUUUGAUGACUUAUUUCCGUGAAGCAACUGUGCAUACUCAAGAAUUGUUAGAUUUACUGGUUAAAUGUGAAAAUAAAAUCCAAACUCGUAUCAAAAUUGGGUUGAACUCAAAGAUGCCAAGCCGAUUUCCUCCCGUCAUCUUCUAUACGCCAAAAGAAAUCGGAGGACUUGGCAUGCUAUCAAUGGGUCACAUAUUGAUCCCACAAAGUGACCUGCGAUAUAGCCAGCAGACAGAUGUUGGUGUAACCCACUUCCGGAGUGGAAUGAGUCAUGAAGAAGACCAGCUGAUUCCAAAUCUUUAUCGCUACAUUCAGCCAUGGGAGAGCGAGUUCAUAGAUUCACAGCGUGUAUGGGCAGAGUAUGCCCUUAAGAGGCAGGAAGCACAAGCACAAAAUAGGCGUUUAACCCUAGAAGAUUUGGAAGAUUCUUGGGACAGGGGAAUUCCACGUAUUAAUACUUUAUUUCAGAAGGACCGUCAUACUCUUGCAUAUGACAAAGGAUGGAGAGUACGCACUGAUUUCAAGCAAUACCAAGUUCUAAAGCAAAAUCCUUUCUGGUGGACUCACCAGAGGCAUGAUGGGAAACUGUGGAACUUGAACAAUUACCGAACUGAUGUUAUCCAAGCUCUUGGUGGUGUUGAGGGAAUUCUUGAGCAUACCUUGUUCAAAGGAACUUAUUUCCCAACUUGGGAAGGUCUCUUUUGGGAGAAGGCAUCUGGGUUUGAAGAGUCAAUGAAGUACAAGAAGCUUACCAAUGCACAGAGAUCCGGUCUCAAUCAAAUUCCCAAUCGUAGAUUUACACUUUGGUGGUCACCCACGAUAAAUAGGGCCAAUGUCUAUGUGGGUUUCCAAGUGCAAUUAGAUCUAACUGGCAUCUUUAUGCAUGGAAAGAUCCCAACCUUGAAGAUUUCAUUGAUUCAGAUAUUCCGAGCUCAUCUGUGGCAAAAGAUUCAUGAGAGUGUUGUCAUGGAUCUGUGCCAAGUCUUGGAUCAGGAGCUGGAUGCUCUGGAAAUUGAAACUGUGCAGAAGGAAACAAUUCAUCCAAGGAAGAGUUACAAGAUGAACAGCUCCUGUGCAGACAUUCUCCUCUUUGCUGCUCACAGGUGGCCUAUGUCAAAGCCUAGUCUUGUGGCUGAAUCAAAAGACGUGUUUGACCAGAAAGCCAGUAAUAAAUACUGGAUAGAUGUGCAGCUCAGAUGGGGUGACUAUGACUCCCAUGAAGAUGAGAGACAUCGUUACCGAUGUUACCACCCGAAACCGACCCGCUGUCGGAACACCCAAUGUGGAGGAAAGACGCUGUCGGAACACCCAAUGCGAUGAGAAGCCGAAUGAACUCAGUUGAGCGACUCGAGAUCGGUACAACCAAAGUCCGCAAUACAGAUCGGUCAAAUCCAGUCCUCUCACCAUCAUCAGUAAAGGUCAUUCGAUCACCGGGAUCGUAAAUUUUCAGUCGGUGGGUAAAGAAGUCCAUCGGAAAAGGAUCAAAAGCCACAGUCGUAGCCAGAAUUACUGCCGGAACAGUUAAAACAAGAAAGAAAAAGCAAGAAAGGAAAAUCGAAUGAAGGGGGUUCCUUCUGUCAGGAGUAUAUAUAGGGGAAAAUCGGGCAUUUAUUGCUAAGCAGAAAACGAAGUGGACGCUUUGGGAAUCGAGAGGAAUUAAUGCUUCGACCGGACCAGGGCCGAUUAAGGGAUCUGAAUAAAAGAGAUCGGAAGAUGGGAGAUCAUCAUGAGAGAUCGGAAUAA